AGUGGCGGACGGGUGAGUAACGCGUGAGAAUCUGCCUUGGGGUCGGGGACAACCACUGGAAACGGUGGCUAAUACCGGAUAAGCCGACUGGUGAAAGAUUUAUUGCCCGAAGAGGAGCUCGCGUCUGAUUAGCUAGUUGGUGAGGUAAGAGCUCACCAAGGCAGCGAUCAGUAGCUGGUCUGAGAGGACGAUCAGCCACACUGGGACUGAGACACGGCCCAGACUCCUACGGGAGGCAGCAGUGGGGAAUUUUCCGCAAUGGGCGAAAGCCUGACGGAGCAAGACCGCGUGAGGGAGGAAGGCUCUUGGGUUGUAAACCUCUUUUCUCAGGGAAGAAGCUCUGACGGUACCUGAGGAAUCAGCCUCGGCUAACUCCGUGCCAGCAGCCGCGGUAAUACGGAGGAGGCAAGCGUUAUCCGGAAUUAUUGGGCGUAAAGCGUCCGCAGGUGGCGAUUCAAGUCUGCUGUCAAAGCACGGGGCUUAACUCCGUAAAGGCAGUGGAAACUGAAUAGCUAGAGUGCCGUAGGGGUAGAGGGAAUUCCCGGUGUAGCGGUGAAAUGCGUAGAGAUCGGGAAGAACAUCGGUGGCGAAAGCGCUCUACUGGACGGCAACUGACACUCAGGGACGAAAGCUAGGGGAGCGAAUGGGAUUAGAUACCCC
rnacentral:rRNA from 1 species